UGCGGCCGGAUCCCCUCCUUU
rnacentral:rRNA from 1 species